GAUUUCAUGUGUAUGAUUGAGUAUAAGAACUAGAUCGCAACCGGUUCC
rnacentral:sRNA from 1 species